rnacentral:lncRNA from 1 species
UAAGGGAGCUAUCAUUUGAUUUUUAUGGGGGGGGCUAGGAUGAAAAAUUUUGUCCUGCCUUUUUUUUAGCUGUAAUCUCUGUCCUGCCUUUUUAUUUUUCACUCUGUUCGGUCCUGCCUUUUUUUUUUAGUUUAUCCUGACUUUUUUUUACCUAAAUUGUCGUCCUGAUUUUUUUUUUUGUGAAGUGUCUCAUCCUGCCUUUUUUUUUACUCAAAACUCCUGUCCUGCCUAUUUUUUUCAAAUUUCAUCCUAGCCCCCCCCCAUACAAAUCAAAUGGUAGCUCCCUAAUAUAUUUCUGAAUCUAUUUUAUAGUGAAAUUUUUCCUUGAAUCUAAUUUUUUUAUAUAUUCAUUUAUAUAAAAAGAUGACUUACAACUUGUUUUAAUAAGACAGAUAACAUUUCACAGGUAAAAACUAAUCCAGCUGUUAAACAUGCUUUUGUUCCAAUAUAUUGUUAUUUAUAUUUUAUACUAUGAUUUAUCUGAUUUCCAUAUAAUCAACAACUAC